GACGAACGCUGGCGGCGUGCUUAACACAUGCAAGUCGAACGGAAAGGCCUGCUUUCCCUUGUGGAUUGCGGGUACUCGAGUGGCGAACGGGUGAGUAACACGUGAGUGAUCUGCCCCCAACUUGGGUAUAAGCCUGGGAAACUGGGUCUAAUUCCCGAUAGGACUGCAGGGUGGUGCCUGUGGUGGAAAACGAUUUUCUAGUGGUUGGGGAUGAGCUCGCGGCCUAUCAGCUUGUUGGUGGGGUAAUGGCCUACCAAGGCGGCGACGGGUAGCCGGCCUGAGAGGGUGGACGGCCACAUUGGGACUGAGAUACGGCCCAGACUCCUACGGGAGGCAGCAGUGGGGAAUAUUGCACAAUGGGCGGAAGCCUGAUGCAGCGACGCCGCGUGGGGGAUGACGGCCUUCGGGUGGUAAACUCCUUUCGACCGCGAGGAAGCCUCCUGGUUGGAAGGGUGGUGACGGUAGUGGUAGAAGAAGCACCGGCUAACUACGUG
rnacentral:rRNA from 1 species